rnacentral:rRNA from 1 species
CUCCUUAGGGGGCUCGCGUUAUCCUGCAUUACUUUUCGUACCUUUUGCGCAGGCGGCCAUUUACGUCAGAUGUGAAAGGCUACGGCUUAACCGUAGUUAGCAUUUGAAACUAGAAGGCUUGAGUGCAGUAGAGGAGAGUGGAAUUCCUAGUGUAGCGGUGAAAUGCGUAGAUAUUAGGAGGAACACCAGUGGCGAAGGCGACUCUCUGGACUGCAACUGACGCUGAGGCACGAAAGCGUGGGUAGCGAACAGGAUUAGAUACCCUGGUAGUCCACGCCGUAAACGAUGAGUGCUAGGUGUUGGAGGAGACAUCCUUCAGUGCCGGAGCUAACGCAUUAAGCACUCCGCCUGGGGAGUACGUACGCAAGUAUGAA